UACGUAGGGUGCGAGCGUUGUCCGGAAUUACUGGGCGUAGCGAGCUCGUAGGUGGUUUGUCGCGUUGUCCGUGAAAACUCACAGCUCAACUGUGGGCGUGCGGGCGAUACGGGCAGACUGGAGUACUGCAGGGGAGACUGGAAUUCCUGGUGUAGCGGUGGAAUGCGCAGAUAUCAGGAGGAACACCGGUGGCGAAGGCGGGUCUCUGGGCCGAUACUGACGCUGAGGAGCGAAAGCGUGGGGAGCGAACAGG
rnacentral:rRNA from 1 species